AAAGUACUCCCUCCGUCCCAAAAUUCUUGUCUUAGAUUUGUCUAGAUACGGAUGUAUCAAGUCACAUUUUAGUAUUAGAUACAUCCGUAUCUAGACAAAUCUAAGACAAGAAAUUUGGAACAGAGGGAGUAAUUG
rnacentral:pre_miRNA from 1 species